CCUGUCCCAAGAGGCACUGCAGGUUUGACUGCUGUGUUACAUGUAUGUCAGUCAGUAGGUGGCAAAUAGGAAAGAGUUUAGAAAAUUGAACAUAAUAAUACCUGAGGACACAUUAAUACCACUCCUAGGCAUACAUC
rnacentral:snoRNA from 1 species